rnacentral:lncRNA from 1 species
CUCCAAUCCUGCAGUUUCCUGACUGCUUCCUCCGGACCACCCCCAAUUCUGAGGGUGUCCAGCCCCUGCUGAGGCAGGUGGAUCACCUGAGGUCAGGAGUUCGUGACCAGCCUGGCCAACAUGGUAAAACCCCGUCUCUACUAAAAAUGCGUUGCAGUGAGCCAAGAUUGCACCACUGCACUCUCCAGCCUGGGUGACAGAGUGAGACUCCGUCUCAAAAAGAUAGUGGACUACUUAAACUUAUCACUGAGUUUUUUUUAAGUUAAGGAUUCCUGAUACAUGACAUCACCACGACACAGAAAGCUCAGCUACCUAAAUCAAGGGGAAGGAGGUAACCUUAAGAACUCAAGAACGAGAAUGCAGCUGGACCAAGAACAGACUGGAAGAGAGUGGCUUAAUGCUGUCAGAGAGUCAGGUAGUGUUCUCUCUGCUUCUCUUUAGACAGUUACUUUAUUCUCCCCAUCCAUAAAUCAUCUGAGAUUCUAUCUUGGUUCAAGGCUACUCACCUAGAGCAAUGCCAGGCAUAUACAGCGUGUACUCAAACAUUCACUGAACAGCUAACUAAACUCAGAACUUCCCAAUCACGGCUGGGUGCGGUGGCUCACGCCUGUAAUCCCAGCACUUUGGGAGGCUGAGGAGGGCAGA